GUGAGGAAUAUUGGUCAAUGGGCGGGAGCCUGAACCAGCCAAGUCGCGUGAAGGAAGAAGGAUCUAUGGUUCGUAAACUUCUUUUGCAGGGGAAUAAAGUGCAGGACGUGUCCUGUUUUGUAUGUACCCUGAGAAUAAGGAUCGGCUAACUCCGUGCCAGCAGCCGCGGUAAUACGGAGGAUCCGAGCGUUAUCCGGAUUUAUUGGGUUUAAAGGGGGCGUAGGUGGUUUGAUAAGUCAGCGGUGAAAGUUUGCAGCUUAACUGUAAAAAUGCCGUUGAAACUGUCGGACUUGAGUGUAAAUGAGGUAGGCGGAAUGCGUGGUGUAGCGGUGAAAUGCAUAGAUAUCACGCAGAACUCCGAUUGCGAAGGCAGCUUACUAAGCUACAACUGACACUGAAGCACGAAAGCGUGGGGAUCAAACAGGAUUAGAUACCCGGGUAGUCC
rnacentral:rRNA from 1 species